AGAGUUUGAUCCUGGCUCAGGAUGAAUGCUGGCGGCGUGCCUAACACAUGCAAGUCGAGCGGCAGCGGGUUCUGCACUAUCAACUUGAAGCCUGGACGCGGGGAUUUCCGAAGGAAAUCAGCCGCAUCAUUUUGAAAGAGAUGAGUGUCUGGGGUGACUUCGAACUGAUAGUGCAGAGUGCCGGCGAGCGGCGGACGGCUGAGUAACGCGUAGGAAUUUGCCCCAAAGUGAGGAAUAACUGCCCGAAAGGGUAGCUAAUGCCGCAUAUGGUCUUCGGAUUAAAGGAUUUAUCCGCUUUGGGAGAAGCCUGCGUUGGAUUAGGUUGUUGGUAGGGUAAUGGCCUACCAAGCCGACGAUCCAUAGCUGGUCUGAGAGGAUGAUCAGCCAGACUGGAACUGAGACACGGUCCAGACUCCUACGGGAGGCAGCAGUGAGGAAUCUUCCACAAUGGGCGAAAGCCUGAUGGAGCAACGCCGCGUGAAGGAUGAAGGCCUUCGGGUUGUAAACUUCUUUUAUGAGUGAAGAAUAUGACGGUAACUCAUGAAUAAGCACCGGCUAACUACGUGCCAGCAGCCGCGGUCAUACGUAGGGUGCGAGCAUUAUCCGGAGUGACUGGGCGUAAAGAGUUGCGUAGGCGGUUUAAUAAGUGAAUAGUGAAACCUGGUGGCUCAACCAUACAGACUAUUAUUCAAACUGUUAAACUCGAGAAUGGUAGAGGUAACUGGAAUUUCUUGUGUAGGAGUGAAAUCCGUAGAUAUAAGAAGGAACACCGAUGGCGUAGGCAGGUUACUGGGCCAUUUCUGACGCUAAGGCACGAAAGCGUGGGGAGCGAACCGGAUUAGAUACCCGGGUAGUCCACGCCGUAAACGAUGGAUACUAGCUGUUGGAGGUAUCGACCCCUUCAGUAGCGAAGCUAACGCGUUAAGUAUCCCGCCUGUGGAGUACGGCCGCAAGGCUAAAACAUAAAGGAAUUGACGGGGACCCGCACAAGCGGUGGAUUAUGUUCUUUAAUUCGAUGAUAACCGAAGAACCUUACCAGGGCUUGACAUCCAGGGAAGGUCUGCGAAAGUAGACUGUGCCUUUUGGAACCCUGUGACAGGUGAUGCAUGGCCGUCGUCAGCUCGUGUCGUGAGAUGUUAGGUUAAGUCCUUCAACGAGCGCAACC
rnacentral:rRNA from 1 species